rnacentral:rRNA from 1 species
GGUAUAAAAGUCGUAACAAGGUCUCCGUAGGUGAACC